rnacentral:rRNA from 1 species
CCUACGGGGGGCUGCAGUGGGGAAUAUUGGACAAUGGGGGCAACCCUGAUCCAGCCAUGCCGCGUGUGUGAAGAAGGCCCUCGGGUUGUAAAGCACUUUCAGUGGGGAAGAACGCCUGGUGGUUAAUACCCAUCAGGAAAGACAUCACUCACAGAAGAAGCACCGGCUAACUCCGUGCCAGCAGCCGCGGUAAUACGGAGGGUGCGAGCGUUAAUCGGAAUUACUGGGCGUAAAGCGCGCGUAGGUGGCUUGAUAAGCCGGUUGUGAAAGCCCCGGGCUCAACCUGGGAACGGCAUCCGGAACUGUCAAGCUAGAGUGCAGGAGAGGAAGGUAGAAUUCCCGGUGUAGCGGUGAAAUGCGUAGAGAUCGGGAGGAAUACCAGUGGCGAAGGCGGCCUUCUGGACUGACACUGACACUGAGGUGCGAAAGCGUGGGUAGCAAACAGGAUUAGAUACCCCAGUAGUC